UCUGCACAUAAUUAAAGCCCAUGUGACCAUUGUUUUGUCAAAUGGGUGUCGUCAUGUGGGACAUUAAUGUAAGAUAUUGCUAACACCAUUAGGAUGUGUAUUCAUUUUGUGAAUGGGGUUUGAUAGUAGACCUUACAACACUU
rnacentral:snoRNA from 1 species